GCCAGGCGUGGUGGCUCACGCCUGUAAUCCCAGCACUUUGGAGGCUGAGGUGGGUGGAUCACUAGAGGUCAGGAGUUUGAGACCAGCCUGGCCAACAUGGUGAAACCCCAUCUCUA
rnacentral:SRP_RNA from 1 species